rnacentral:lncRNA from 1 species
AUGUGAAGUGAAAUGGCUGUAGCCUAAUGUCCUUCUGAAAUCAAGAGACACAUCUUCACUUUCCAGACUGGGACCAGACUUUUGUGCCACGUUGUGACAUGCACACAUGCACACACAGGAAAGGACUUGGCUUGUGCCCACAUGCCUUUCUUCAGGGACAAGUGGGAAUGGACAUAAGGAGCGUCUCAUCCUUACGUGGCCUCCUUUGUCUUCCUCCUUCCUGGCCAAGACGGUGAUUUACUGCCCAAAGACAAGUCCAUCUGAAGCAAGAACUGACUAUCGAGGACUCUGUAGUGACUGAUAAACUGGGAAGAGAAAAUUGGACCAGAGACUUCAAGGCAGCUCUCAGACAAGAAUAUUCCAGUGCCAGAGAGAAAGACAUUAAAAAUGAAGAGACAUGCAGAGAGUGCACCAUGCCAUCGUGGAGACAGACUGAAGUGACACAACUGUUAGUCAAAGAGGAUUAAGGACUUCCAGAAGCCACCAAAGGAAGGAGAUGGCUGUCUUCAUAUUUGUUCUAGACAUUGGUUCUACUCAAGUCAAGGCAAGUCAUCUGACCUUCACCAAGAAAGUCCAGCAUCCAGGAAAGGAAAUUGUAUGUUUGGAUAUGUGAAGAAGCAGAACUGUCUAGAGACUUGCUCAAGUGGAAGUCACCUCUCACACCUGCCCUAUGCAGUCAGGCCUUCUGUGCACACAAUCAAUUGCCUGGAUUAAUGUCACAGGAAAUCCACUCUACUGAUCAGCUGUGCUGGCUCUCCACAGUCUCCAUCGUUGUGAGGAUCCAUCUGCUCUCCCUGGGAGAUGAAGCCAAUGCCUCCCAUGCUGGGCUCCCUGGGGAUCAUCUCUCAGUGUGGAGAGCCUGCUCCAGCCCCUGAAGUGGAAAGCUACUACUUAACCAAACACACAGCCUAACAGCUGGGAUUAAAUGACCUGAAAGAUUUCCUGGAUGUUUUGGAUUAGGAAUUUGUGUCAACGUGUUCUAAGGUAUCUUCUACACCUGAGAUUCUCUCUUCUGUCUCUUGUAUUCUGUUGGUGAUGCUUGCAUCUGUAAUUCCUGACCUCUUUCUUUAAAAAAAAAAGGGGGGGGAGGGGAAUAGGAGGUAGCUAUCAAUCCAUCAAAGACUAUUUUUAACAUCAUUUGAUACAUAUUAUUUUUACAUAGUUGAGAUCAUGCUAUGCAGUAGCCAUUUUCCAUCUGCUUCCGGUUUCACUCCCUACCCCUGGCCCCUGUCAAACUGGCUUCCACUAUCCCACUAGACUGGCAAGUGUAAAGCGUAGAAGGGUCAAGCCAGGAUAUUUGCUCACCAGCCCUGCCUGGGGAAGGAAUUUUCCAGUAGCCACCACUCUUGCACCCACCAAGUGGGAAAUUUCUAGGCCGUGAGAGCUCUUGCAACCCUGACAUUGCUCAGCUCCAGGUCCCUUCAGCUUAAUGAUGGGUUCUCUGCUAUUUGUCACCUACAAAGUAGGUCCCACUAUGACAUUGUUUGGAAUACCCAGAGUGGUAUAUGUUCCUAAUCAUGACAAGAUCAAUGUGUAUAUUCAUUUAAAAUUAUUCCACAUGGGUUGUCAAAUAUAGUACUUUACAGAUGGUG